UUUCUUCUUGUAUUAUUUAUUUGUGUAACUAUGAAAUUGAAUUUUCUUUAGUUUUGUUGUUUGUUGGUAAGAAAUAAAUAGCGUAAAAGCUGAAUAUGUGAGAGCUAGGUUAAUAUUUUGUUAUUUUUUCUCGCUUCUUUUUCGUAGUUGACUUCAUCCUAGGGUGAACCAAAGUCGAUUACGAUAUUUUAAAAGUUUUGAUUUUCGACCGAAAGUGAAGUUAUAAUGAACCAAACGACGAAAGUAAAUAUUUAUAAGCAAAAACUGUCGGAUCGUUGGCGCUAACCAUUAAUUUCAAAAGCUUGAGCUAUUAGAAAUGCGCAAUCAAUUCACUUAAAGCAUAUAGAAACAGCGCCAACGGGUCUCGAUUGUGACUCGGCCCACCUGGCCUUACGCCACUUCGAACAUAAUUCGGCCCAACCCAACCUCACGCCAUUUCGAAUAUGACUCGGGCUACAUGGCCUCCCACCACAGGGCAGGAUGCUGACCCAUUUAAGACAACAAUCCCUCCUCCAGCACCUGGACACAUUUGCAGCAUGCAGGAAUCGAACCUGUGACCUCUGGCUCUGAUACCACUUGUCGGAUCGUUGGCGCUAACCAUUAAUCCCAAAAACUCGAGCUGUUAGAAAUACGCAACAAAUUCACUUAAAGUGUACAGGAACAACGCCAACGGGUCUCGAUUGUGACUCGGCCCACUUGGUCUCACGCCACUUCGAACAUGACUCGACCCAACCCAGCCUCACGCCAUUUCGAACAUGACUUGGCCCACAUGGCCUCCCGCUACAGGGCAGGAUGCUGGCCCAUUUAAGCCAACAAAAACCACCUCACUUCUUUUCACUUUCGAUGAAAACCAACACCGUAAAACUAGUGAAACUGGAGUUUGAAGUUAGCACUCGCCUAUCUAUCCUUCAAAAGUUUUCGAUUUUUAUAUUUAUACCUCAAAAACUUUUAUACUGGAUUUUACAUCCCAGAAAAUCUAAAAUCUAUCC
rnacentral:lncRNA from 1 species